rnacentral:misc_RNA from 1 species
UCCUCGUUAACCGAGGCAGUCUCGUCUGAAAAAUCCAACAUACGACGGGGGUUGCGCUCGUUGCGGGACUUAACCCAACAUCUCACGACACGAGCUGACGACGACCAUGCAGCACCUGUCUAGCACCCUCGAAGGCUGCCCGAGUUUCCUCGGGCAUGCAGCUAGAUGUCAAGCCCUGGUAAGGUUCUUCGCUUAGCGUCGAAUUAAACCACACGCUCCACCGCUUGUGCGGGUCCCCGUCAAUUCUUUUGAGUUUUAGCCUUGCGGCCGUACUCCCCAGGCGGGGUGCUUAACGCGUUAGCUUCGACACCCAAGGGGUCUAAUCCUCGAAUGCCUAGCACCCAUCGUUUACGGCGUGGACUAC